rnacentral:tRNA from 1 species
UUACUUUGGCAGAUUAGUGUAUUUGAUUUAGAAUCAUUUUAAGUAAGUAGUUUUACCGGUAAUAN